rnacentral:rRNA from 1 species
UGGGGAAUAUUGCACAAUGGGCGCAAGCCUGAUGCAGCCAUGCCGCGUGUAUGAAGAAGGCCUUCGGGUUGUAAAGUACUUUCAGCGAGGAGGAAGGCGUUGUGGUUAAUAACCGCAACGAUUGACGUUACUCGCAGAAGAAGCACCGGCUAACUCCGUGCCAGCAGCCGCGGUAAUACGGAGGGUGCAAGCGUUAAUCGGAAUUACUGGGCGUAAAGCGCACGCAGGCGGUCUGUCAAGUCGGAUGUGAAAUCCCCGGGCUCAACCUGGGAACUGCAUCCGAAACUGGCAGGCUAGAGUCUUGUAGAGGGGGGUAGAUUUCCAGGUGUAGCGGUGAAAUGCGUAGAGAUCUGGAGGAAUACCGGUGGCGAAGGCGGCCCCCUGGACAAAGACUGACGCUCAGGUGCGAAAGCGUGGGGAGCAAACA